CAAACCCAAAAAUGCCAUGACAAAAACACUACUACUACAGAAGCCCUAGCCUCCCUCGUUUGUCUUUCGCUGUCUAUCACCGUUUCAUCAUCUACAGCACGGUUGUAAUCAGAAGCUUCUUAGCUAGGUGAAUCGCACAAAAGUUAUUAAUUUCGGGUAUUACGCGCAUAACAAGGUUGGUAAAGGUAUUGGGCUACGAGUGAGGAGACGCUUAGAAUAACCACCUAGUCAAGAGACAAUUUCUAUUUUAGUUUUAAGUUGGAUUUUGUUAUUUAUUUUAUGGGAAUUGGUUGUAUUAUUUUAUGGGCCACCUUUUAGACCACUUAGUUAAUUUUGACUUUAACGGUUUUAAAUUAUUCUGUUGCUUUGCAUUUAUUUUCUAAGGAGAAUAAAUGUAGCAGUGACACUCCCAAGGUUUGGACGAUGGUUUUACGAAAUAAAAACGGGG